rnacentral:rRNA from 1 species
CCGGCGACCGGCGGACGGGUGCGUAACGCGUAUGUAACCUACCUUUGACAGGGGGAUAACAUCGAGAAAUUGGUACUAAUACCCCAUAACAUCACCGGAGGCAUCUUCGGUGGUUGAAAACUCAGGUGGUCAGAGAUGGGCAUGCGUUGUAUUAGCUAGUUGGUGAGGUAACGGCUCACCAAGGCGACGAUACAUAGGGGGACUGAGAGGUCAACCCCCCACAUUGGUACUGAGACACGGACCAAACUCCUACGGGAGGCAGCAG